rnacentral:rRNA from 1 species
UACGUAGGGUGCGAGCGUUAAUCGGAAUUACUGGGCGUAAAGCGUGCGCAGGCGGUUCGUUAAGACAGAUGUGAAAUCCCCGGGCUUAACCUGGGAACUGCAUUUGUGACUGGCGGGCUAGAGUGUGGCAGAGGGGGGUAGAAUUCCACGUGUAGCAGUGAAAUGCGUAGAGAUGUGGAGGAAUACCGAUGGCGAAGGCAGCCCCCUGGGCCAAUACUGACGCUCAUGCACGAAAGCGUGGGGAGCAAACAGG